ensembl:lncRNA
AAUUUGCCUUUGCUUACUUACUUGUAUCCAGGCUGUAUUUGGGCAGGAACAAAUGUGGGCUUUACAGUCAGCAUGCUUUUCUACCCCUUCAAUGCUCACAACGUUGUGAAAGUAUUACAGUACUGCUCUGGGAUAGCUACAGGAGGCACCACUCCUCCAGGUGUCUCCUUAAAAGAAUCCUAUGGAAACUGUGCAUGCUAUCAACAAUGAGAUGACAACCUUGAAAACUUAUCCUGCAAAGAACCUUCCAGCUCGUGACAGCCUUUCCUCUCCUCCAUGCUCCAUAUUUGUACCUCCUAAAGAACUAACACAGAAAAUACUGAAAUACUGAGGUGAUCCAGGAUCCUACAGGACUGUGGCCUUAAACUUAAACCAUGAGGUGGUUCUACAGCUACUCCAUCUAGACAGAAGCAGAUUCCAGUGAGCUAAGCAUAAUUGAGAUGUUUGCAUUAUUUUGUCUCAAAGCUUGGAGUUCUCUGAAGUUUCCAUUUCCUAAUGACUGAGUAUGCUAUAAACAGAAAGCUACUACUUUGGGACUCUGACAUUAUCUGCACAUCAGUAGACUAUGCAACUCCAGCACCAAACCAUGGAGGCUAUGGUAGAAGUGUUACGUUAAAGUAAGGUGCAAAUAAGACUGAUAACUCGGUUGUGUAUUUUUAUCCUGUUGUCCAAUGGCUGAUAGUACUGAAGAAAAAAAAGAAAGAAGAAAAAAACCACAAAGGAGCACUAUUGCAUGAAUUUAUUUCCACCCUUCAGCUGGAUCUACUAACAGUUCCUAUUGUAAACAGUCCACAUUCUGCUUCCUCCAGAACACUGCUUAGGCUUACGGUCUUAAAUCUGAUUGUAGAU